GACGAACGCUGGCGGCGUGCUUAACACAUGCAAGUCGAACGGUAAGGCCCUUCGGGGUACACGAGUGGCGAACGGGUGAGUAACACGUGGGUGAUCUGCCCUGCACUUCGGGAUAAGCCUGGGAAACUGGGUCUAAUACCGGAUAGGACCACUGCCUGCAUGGGUGGUGGUGGAAAGCUUUUGCGGUGUGGGAUGGGCCCGCGGCCUAUCAGCUUGUUGGUGGGGUGAUGGCCUACCAAGGCGACGACGGGUAGCCGGCCUGAGAGGGUGACCGGCGACACUGGGACUGAGAUACGGCCCAGACUCUUACGGGAGGAAGCAGUGGGGAAUAUUGCACAAUGGGCGCAAGCCUGAUGCAGCGACGCCGCGUGAGGGAUGACGGCCUUCGGGUUGUAAACCUCUUUCAGCACCGACGAAGCGCAAGUGACGGUAGGUGCAGAAGAAGGACCGGCCAACUACGUGCCAGCCGCCGCAGUAA
rnacentral:rRNA from 1 species